rnacentral:rRNA from 1 species
CCUACGGGUGGCAGCAGUGAGGAAUAUUGGUCAAUGGGCGCCAGUCUGAACCAGCCAUGCCGCGUGCGGGAAGACGGCUCUAUGAGUUGUAAACUGCUUUUGUCCGAGGAUACACGCACAUACGGGUGUCUGUCUGAAUGUAUCGUACGAAUAAGCAUCGGCUAACUCCGUGCCAGCAGCCGCGGUAAUACGGAGGAUUCAAGCGUUAUCCGGAUUUAUUGGGUUUAAAGGGUGCGUAGGCGGUCGGAGAAGUUAGAGGUGAAAUCACGGGGCGCAACUUCGGAAUUGCCGCUGAUACUGGUCGGCGAGAGAGUACGAGAGGUAGGCGGAAGGCAUGGUGUAGCGGUGAAAUGCGUAGAGAUCAUACAGAACACCGAUUGCGAAGGCAGCUUACCAAGGCACUUCUGACGUUGAGGCACGAAAGCGUGGGGAGCAAACAGGAUUAGAUACCCGUGUAGUC